rnacentral:rRNA from 1 species
AACGAACACUGGCGGCAUGCCUAACACAUGCAAGUCGAACGAGACCUUCGGGUCUAGUGGCGCACGGGUGCGUAACGCGUGGGAACCUGCCCUUAGGUUCGGAAUAACUCCCCGAAAGGGGUGCUAAUACCGGAUAAUGUCUUCGGACCAAAGAUUUAUCGCCUUUGGAUGGGCCCGCGUUGGAUUAGCUAGUUGGUAGGGUAAAAGCCUACCAAGGCGACGAUCCAUAGCUGGUCUGAGAGGAUGAUCAGCCACACUGGGACUGAGACACGGCCCAGACUCCUACGGGAGGCAGCAGUGGGGAAUAUUGGUCAAUGGGCGAAAGCCUGAUCCAGCAAUGCCGCGUGAGUGAUGAAGGCCUUAGGGUUGUAAAGCUCUUUUACCCGGGAUGAUAAUGACAGUACCGGGAGAAUAAGCUCCGGCUAACUCCGUG